ensembl:lncRNA
GUUGAGAGAGAGGUUGUUGUCCUGGCACCAUGUAGCCAGGUUCUUUACCUCCUCUCUGUAAUAAUAAAAAUUAUAAUAAUGCACUUUAUACAGCGCUUUUCACAAAGACGCUUUACAAAAUUAACAUGAUAACAGAUCAAAGGAGAGUGUUGAGUCCAGAAUGAUCCCAAGGUUAUGUGCGUGGGAGGAUGGAGAAACAAUGGUGUCCCAAGGUUAUGUGCGUGGGAGGAUGGAGAAACAAUGGUGUCCCAAGGUUAUGUGCGUGGGAGUAUGGAGAAACAAUGGUGUCCCAAGGUUAUGUGCGUGGGAGAAUGGAGAAACAAUGGUGUCCCAAGGUUAUGUGCGUGGGAGGAUGGAGAAACAAUGGUGUCCCAAGGUUAUGUGCGUGGGAGGAUGGAGAAACAAUGGUGUCCCAAGGUUAUGUGCGUGGGAGGAUGGAGAAACAAUGGUGUCAUCGACGCUGCAAGCAGUCUCGUUGUCGGAGAUGAGACCCAGGAUAGUAGUGUCAUCAGUGAAUUUGAGGAUGAUGUUGGAGCUGUGUGUGGCCACACAAUCAUGUGUGAACAGGGUGUACUGGAGGGGACUGAGUACACAGCCCUGGGGGGCUCCAGUGCUAUGGGUCAGUGUAAAGGAGGUGAGCUUGCCCAUUCUCACCACCUGGGGUCUGCCCAUCAGUUUAAGUCCCAGGGUCCUGAGCUUAGGAACAAGCUUAGCGGGCACAAUAGUGUUGAAUGCAGAGCUGUAGUCAACAAACAGCGUCCUCACGUAUGUGUUGUCUUUUUCCAGGUGGGAGAUGGUGGUGGCAUUGUCUGUAGGUGGUGGCAUUGUCUGUAGAUCUAUUGGGGUGGUAUUCAAAUUAAAAGGGGUCUAAGAUGACAGGAAGGGUGGAGCAGAUGUGAGUUCUGACCAGACACAUCAUGAUGGUGGAGGUCAGUGCUACAAGGCGGUAGUCGUUCAGGCAGGUGAUGGAAGGUUUCUUCGGUACAGUGUCGUCUGUUUGAUGUAGGAGGGGACUACAGACAGGGACCGGUAGAGGUUGAAUAUGGAGGUGAAAACCUCCGCUAGUUGGUCAGCGCACCCCCUGAAGACCCCCAGCGCACCCCCUAAAGGACACGGCCUGGAAUGUCAUCUGGUCCUGGUGACUUCCAAGGGUGAAUUUUUUUUAAACUCUCCUGAUGUCACCGUGGUUUGGGACAGAGUGUAGUCGUCCUGGUCCUCAGCAAGCCUCACUGAAGGAAUUGUGUUGGUCGCCUCAAACCCUGCAUAGAAGGUGUUGAGCUCAUCAGGGAAUAGGGCGGUGGGAGGAGCAUCAUUGGUAUUUCUCCCUUUGGGUUCUGUGAUGUGUCACAGUCCUCCCCACUGGGAUCAGAGCCAGGCCCGGCUGCAGGAUCCAAUGACUGAGGGGGCAUUUUUCAUAAAUGAGGUGGCAUGUCUAAUUCAUAUACCAUUUGCAGUGUUUAUGGGGAACAAUACUGAGGGGACACAGAAUCUAUCUGGAGGGGCAGUGCCCCCUUAUGUCUCCACAUGGUGCCGGGCCUGGUCAGAGCUAUGGUAGUUUGACUUCAACUUAUCCCUGUAUUCUCUCUUUCCAUCCCUGAUAGCCUUCUGUAGGUCAUAUAUGGAUCUCCUCAAAGGCUCCAAGUCCCCAGAGCUAUAGGCGGAGGACCGUGGUCUGAGCUGAACAAAGGAAUUGCAGCAAUCGCUCCGGUGACUAGUGUAAAAGUCUGUGUUCAAAAAAGAAACAAAUAUCCAAAAGUGCUUUUCGGUCAUACUGUAUGAGCAACAGUGCAGCAUGCACAAAAAGAAACAAUUAAACAAGAAAAACAAUAAUAAGCAAAGAACUACGUAGUGAAUGCGGAGCCAUUGUCAGUACCUUCCUCUAUUGCGCACUAGAAGAAUCGGAAGCCUAGAAAGCCAGCCUCCCAAAG